rnacentral:rRNA from 1 species
AGUGAACGCUGGCGGUAGGCCUAACACAUGCAAGUCGAACGGCAGCACAGUAAGAGCUUGCUCUUACGGGUGGCGAGUGGCGGACGGGUGAGGAAUACAUAGGAAUCUACUUUUUCGUGGGGGAUAACGGAGGGAAACUUACGCUAAUACCGCAUACGACCUACGGGUGAAAGCAGGAGAUCUUCGGACCUUGCGCGAUUGAAUGAGCCGAUGUCGGAUUAGCUAGUUGGCGGGGUAAAGGCCCACCAAGGCGACGAUCCGUAGCUGGUCUGAGAGGAUGAUCAGCCACACUGGAACUGAGACACGGUCCAGACUCCUACGGGAGGCAGCAGUGGGGAAUAUUGGACAAUGGGCGCAAGCCUGAUCCAGCCAUACCGCGUGGGUGAAGAAGGCCUUCGGGUUGUAAAGCCCUUUUGUUGGGAAAGAAAAGCAGCAUGUUAAUACCCCGCUGUUCUGACGGUACCCAAAGAAUAAGCACCGGCUAACUUCGUG